rnacentral:rRNA from 1 species
CAACUCGCCUACAUGAAGUCGGAAUUGCUAGUAAUCGCGGAUCAGCAUGCCGCGGUGAAUACGUUCCCGGGCCUUGUACACACCGCCCGUCACACCAUGGGAGUCGGUAACACCCGAAGCCUGUAGUCUAACCGCAAGGAGGACGCAGUCGAAGGUGGGAUUGAUGACUGGGGUNAAGUCGUAACAAGGUAAC